rnacentral:rRNA from 1 species
AUGGGUGACAGAAUAAUAUUAUUCGGAUACAAUGGGAACUCCCGGUUCAGUGUCAUAAUCUUGGAUCAACUUGGGCGUGAGAAGGCUUCAUCCGUUGUCGAUCCGCUCCCGCCUCGUGCACUCGAAAGGCACACAAAUGGUGCUGAAACCGUGAGCCAACAUCCUUCUGAUGGCCCCGUGGACUGUUCUCCUCCGCUCAUGCUAAUGCCACCGCCUGCUCACUUUGAUGUUCAGCCUCAGCAGCAGGCCAUGCUAAUGCAGGCUCCCCUGAAUCAUUCCUUCUCCCCCAAGUCAUCAGCUGGAGAAGGAGAUGGCUCUUUCUCGUCACAUGAUCAUGUCCGGAAUGCACUUGGUUUCAGGCGUGUUGUUAGAAGAAAUCGAACCUCAUCUCAGAAGCAGCAGCAGAAGAAGGAUGGUUAUAUUACCACGGAUAAGACCAAGCUAACCCCUGCUCAGGAGCAGCAGGUGAAAGACAUGGUCCAGACUAUCCGUUCACGCAGAAGUGGCAUAACCAUCUUUGUUGCUCUGAUUGGCAAGGCCAAUGUUCAUCCCGGAUUCUCCCUCACUGUCCCAAUCAUGUACGGGCAGGAACAUUUUGGAGAUGGGAAAGUCAUCUGUUUCCAGCUAGGUGAGAAGAAAUGGAAUGCGAGCUUCAACGGUUCGCGCAAGUAUUAUCGGAUCGAAAGCGGAUGGAGGAGGUUUGUCCAGGACAACUGUUUGAAGAAGGGUGAUAUAUUCUAG